AGUCUAUGUUCGAAUUGGAGGAGUGGGAUUAUGGGAUUACAAGAACGGGAAACACCUUCAUCAACAUCAUGCCACGUCUUUCUUACUUGGAAAUUUAUUUAUGCCGCAAAUUAAAGGCACUGCCCGACCACAUUCAUCAAACGACAACAUUGAAGAAAUUGCGCAUUGAGGGGUGUGACCUUCUGGAAGAACGUUACCGCAAGGGGGAAGGAGAAGACUGGCCUAAGAUAUCACACAUUCCCAACCUCCAUUUUGGGCUUUGACAAGUAAUUUCUUCUCUUACUCUGAUUUGCUUUGUUGUUGUUUUUAAUCUAAUUAAGAAGCGUAAAUAGCAUUUUGAAUCAAACUCUAUAUCAGAAAUCUGCAAUACAUACUUUCUAAUAUUCUGAUUUUCAUAUCUUCUGAAUGUACGAUUUUUAAUUUGUGAGAUGGGUAACGUUACCGUAAAAGAUUAUUAAUGCAAUAUGAGUAAUUCUUUUGCAGGACAAGUGACCUACAUUUAGUUUGGCUUUGGAGUUGAAUAAUAACCUUUCGAGGUCCCGACAACCAAAAAACGAAGCUUAAUUUGCCACAGAUUGAACGUAUUGCCAUUAUUGACAAUUUUCUGCACAAGCGUGACUGAACUUAGGUUGAUGUCAAAAGAGGUAAAUUAUUGGCAUGCCUGACUAUUUUGACCAUUACAUGAUUCAUAAGUUUACAUUAAUUUUGAUUUUGAGUUGAGUGAUUAGAGGUUUUGAUGGCUGCCCAUGUUAUUUUCAAGAAACUAUUGAUGUAAGAAGCUGUGGUUCUUUUCAUCAGCUUGAACCUGAAACUGUCGCUAUGGAUAACUCAGGUUUUUGUUAUCAACUAUAUCAUCUUUUUCACUAUUUUGAAACUCUUAAGAUUAAACUUUAGUAAAGUUGUUUUAGUUAUCCAUGUAAUCAGGCUGAGGAUACUUAGCUGCCUAUUUAGGCAAAUGUCAGAAUUUAGUUUGUUCGCUGGGAACUGGUGUGGACUGGCAAAGGAUGAUGAGAUAGUUUUUUGAGUGAGUAAAUUUUGGGAGCUUGAGUGUAUUGGGAUUUGCAAUUACAAUCAUCCUCUGCCUCAGGUGAUUUCUUCUCCUGCCCUGUCGUUGUUUGUUCUCUAAUUCAAAAUUAUAAAAUAUUUAAUCAAAUUUUAUGCCAGGAAUAUGCAAAAGUUUCUAAUAUUUUAUUUCCAUCUGUUACAAGAUCAAACUGAAGCAGAACUCAAACAAAAGUAUGCUACUUCUUGCGGAAAUCUUGCCUUUGUUCAGAUUAUGAAACCAUUUCCAUGCAGCAAAUUCAUCCAAAAGUUUGAAUAAGUUUCAUGGUUGGACACUGUUGGCUUCUUUUUCUUCUGGGGUGCAUUUAGGUGCUAUCAAGUGACAGCUGUAAGUAUGAUUGCACUAAGCUGCCGCUGGGAAAUUUGAGGUUUUGAUGGCUGCCCAUGUUAUUUUCAAGAAACUAUUGAUGUAAGAAGCUGUGGUUCUUUUCAUCAGCUUGAACCUGAAACUGUCGCUAUGGAUAACUCAGGUUUUUGUUAUCAACUAUAUCAUCUUUUUCACUAUUUUGAAACUCUUAAGAUUAAACUUUAGUAAAGUUGUUUUAAUUAUCCAUGUAAUCAGGCUGAGGAUACUUAGCUGCCUAUUUAGGCAAAUGUCAGACUUUAGUUUGUUUGCUGGGAACUGGUGUGGUGACAGCGUCCUGGCAAAGGAUGAUGAGAUAGUUUUUUGAGUGAGUAAAUUUUGGGAGCUUGAGUGUAUUGGGAUUUGCAAUUACAAUCAUCCUCUGCCUCAGGUGAUUUCUUCUCCUGCCCUGUCGUUGUUUGUUCUCUAAUUCAAAAUUAUAAAAUAUUUAAUCAAAUUUUAUGCCAGGAAUAUGCAAAAGUUUCUAAUAUUUUAUUUCCAUCUGUUUGCCUUGAUAACUUUGCAGCAAAUGUACUAGUUAAAGAACAAAUCGAAACAGAGUUCAGUUAAAAGUUUCUUCUGCCGUCAUAUUUGAAAAAUGAACCCAUUUCCAGGAAGCAAUGGGCAGCAAAUUCAUAUAAAGCGUAGACAAUGAUGAGCAAACAGGUGAUUCACAAUUUCACUUUUUUUAAUGAAAUUAAUUGUUUGGUUGGAGCGGACAUUGUUAGAAGGCUAUUGAGCUAACCUAUGUCACUACUUGCCUAGAUUACAGGGGGUCAAAACUCAAAAGCGGCAUUGAAUUUUAAAAGGCAUCCAAUAAUUCUUGUGGCCAUAUAUCAAUUCAUGUAAGUUUGAAUGUAAUUAUUGGUGAAGGGGUUUCACUUCCCGUCUCUAAAUAAAAAUACUGAUUCUUUAAGGUACCUGCCACUAGGGAUUGCGAGAUUAAUGAGUCUUUGGACAUUGGAAGAGCUCCUUGUGAGUGGAGGAGGAGGUGUUGAUGGUAGCAAAGCAUGUGGGCAGUGGGCUUGAAUCUCUAAAAAACUUGGAACUCCUCCAAGCGUAAGUAUACGUAUACUGGGAAAUGUGUUAGAUGUGGAUGAGGCUAAGAGAUUAGAGCUUGACAAAAUGAAAUACCUCUUUCAUUGAGACUUAAAUUUGAUGGGGAAGAAGAAAAAGAAGAGGGAAGGAGGAAGAAUGAGGAUAAUCAACUUGUUCUUGAAGCCUUGCAACCACCUCUGAAUUUGAAGGAAUUAGAGAUUUGGUCAUACAGAGGCAACAUUGUUUCCCCCCGGAUGAUGCAAAAAUUGAAGGAAUUUACCAAUCUAAGGAGUUUGACACUCUUUAAAACUGCAAAAUUUGAGAGCAGUUGCCUCCUUUGGGAAAAUUGUGAUCCUUUGAAAAUCUCAGCAUAUUGUACAUGGAGAGUGUGAAAACGGUGGGUAAUGAAUUUCUGGGAAUAGAAAGUGAUCUUCAUGACUCAUCUUCAUCUUCAUUAGUUAUUAUUGCCUUCCCCAAAUUGAAAUCACUUUCAGUUGAGGGAUUGAUGGAAUUGGAGGAGUGGGAUUAUGGGAUUAAAAGAACAGGAAACACCUUCACCAACAUUAUGCCACGUCUUUCUUCCUUGGAAAUUAGUGUGGGGUUAUGGGAUCGCACAACGACGUUGAAGGUAUUGCAGAUUGUGGCAUGUGGUACUCUAAGAAGACGUUACAGACAGGGGAGAGCAGAAGACUGGCCUAACAUCUCUCACAUUCCAGACAUCAUGAUUGUGUGAAAAGAUGCCCUUGACAAAAUUCUCUAGGCGGCUACAUGGAGUACAAUCAUAAAAUGCUAAUGUGGCCACCCUGGUUCUUAAUUAAGGUUGUGAAAUAUUAUUGUAAAAGAUGAUUAAUUCAAUUUGAGUUAUUCGUUUGCUUUGAUAAUGAUAGUAAUUUUAUAUUUUGACAAUUUGCAAGGUGAGAAUGGUGCUGAUUGGUGAUACAGGAUAUGGUUCAAACACCAUUGAAUAAAGCUACGGACAUGGUGGCUCAACUUAGCUAGAUUCCUGUCAAAAUUGGUAAGUUGGCUUGUCAAUGUAUUGAUGCUUUUGUUUUCUCUCAACCCUAAUUACCUUACCUUCAUUUAGUUUGGCUUUGGAGUUGAGUAAUACCUUUUGAGGUUCUCAAACAGAGCAGGACAACCGAAAAAAAAUAGCUUAAUUUGCUGCAGAUCACGUGUUACCAAUUAUUUAAGGUAAUUCUCGUUUACUUGCUUCUACACUAUAGAGUACGUGUUCUGGCUGGUUUAUGUAAUUCAUCAAAUGUUAUUUCCUUAUUGUUCCAUUGAUAUAUUUGUUAGAAUGUGAAACCAUUUCCAGGCAGCAGUUGGCAGUGAAUUCAUGCAAAUGUUGAUGCCAUUCAUAGAUAUUGAAGACAAUGAUGAGCCAAAGGUGAUAAAUCAUUAAUGCAUAGUUACCAAAACCUCCAUCCUUCUCUCAAAAGAAGCAUUGCAGUGCUACAAUGCUGCUACUGGUAAAUUUAAAUCCCAUAUUAGACUUUCCUCACAUAAGAAGCUCUGCUGUACGGCCAAGGCGGAUGUACGGUACAGCAGACCUAAAUAGCAUAGUUUCAUCUGUGUUACCAUGUGAUGUACAUAAUUUCACAUUUGCCUCAGAUUAAGCUUAAUUUCCCACAGAAUAGAGCUGUCGCGACUGGACUUAGGUUGAUGUCCAAAGAGGUAAAUUAUUGGCAUGCCUAGAUAAUUUGGCCAUUUCCUAAUUCAUAAGUCUACAUUAAUUUUGAUUUUGAGUUGACUGAUUUCUUUUCAAGGUCUGCUUCCUUAACGGAGUGACCAAUGUUUUUCAACUAAAUUUAUCAUAUGAUGCAGGAAGCAGGGCAGGAUAUGAAAUGAGAAGCUCAUUGGUGGAAGUAUUGCCAGUAACAGAACCCAAAGAAAAUGAAACUAUUUCAAGGCAGCAGUUGGCAGUUGCAAGUGAAUGGAGGCCCUGACAAAAUUCUCAAGCGGUUGCAAUGCAAUUACGAUCAUCCUCAGCCUCAGGUAAUUUCUUCUCCUGCUCUGUUUUUAUUUGUUAUCUAAUUAAAAAGCAUAAAGUAUCUUGAAUCACUUUCUCUAUCUGGAAUAUAUGCAGCAGUUUCUAAAAUCUUCAUAUGAGUGUAAUGAUGGUAAUUUCUGUUUUUUGUCUGUCAUUGAAUGUUAGACAACUUUCAGUGAGACUCUUGAACCGAGACAUUUUUGACAACUGAAGGACAAUUGCUGAAGAGUGGGAAUGGUGCUAGAUUGGGGAAUAAAGACAACGGAGGUAAAUUAUUUGCAGUUUAUUCAGCAUUAUUUGCUUUGGACCAGCGCCUGAUUCACAAGUCUCCAUAAUUUGGCUUUUGACCAGUUGUUAAUAAAUUUUUUUAUUCCAUUGGUGCUAAAUGUACACGUGAAGCAGGCAGAGCAGGACUGUGGAAAUGAGAAGGUUUUUAGUGAAAGCUUAAACUCAGGUAAUUCUAAAAAGUACAUGUUUUGGCUGAUUUAUCUAAAUCAGGAAAUUUUAUUUCCAUCUGUUACAAGAUAAAACAGAAACAGAACACAAAGAAAAAUAUUCUACUUCUUGUGGCAAUCUUCCAGGAAGCAGUUGGCAGCAAAUUCAUAUGGAGUGUAGACAAUGAUGAGCAAAAAGGUGAUUCGCAAUUUCUUUUUUUUUUUUUUUAAGUGAAAUUAUUUGUUAGAUUGAAGCUGAUAUUGUAAGAAGGCCAUUGAGCUAACCUAUGUCGCCACUUGCCUAGAUUGCAGGGGGUCAAGACUCAAAAGAAGCACUGAAAUUUAAAAAGCAUGCAAUAGUUCUUUUGCCAUGUGUCAAUUAAUGCAAGUUUGAAUAAGUUUAUUGGCUGAACGAUGUUAGCUUCUUUUCCUUUCGUGCACUUUGGUAUGCUAUCAAGUGACAGCCGUAUGUAUGGCUUGCGUAUAGCUGCUGCUGGGAAAAUUGACGAUUUCAUGGCUGGCCGUGUUAUUGUCUUAAAUUAGUUGUGAUAAGCUGUUGCUUGGAGAUUCUGUUGCCAAGACUUUGCUCACAUCAGAAGCUGUGGAAUCUGAACCCUUCGUUAUGUAUCAUCUUUUUCAUGCAGGAAAAAGUUUCUUCGGCCACCAUAUUUGAAAAUGAAGCCAUUUCCAGGAAGCAGUUGGCAGCAAAUUCUUUGCCUUUCGUGCACUUUGGUAUGCUAUCAAGUGACAGCUUCUUUGUCUUAAAUUAGUUGUGAUAAGCUGUUGCUUGGAGAUUCUGUUGCCAAGACUUUGCUCACAUCAGAAGCUGUGGAAUCUGAACCCUUCGUUAUGUAUCAUCUUUUUCAUUGUUUUAAAACUCUCAGGAUUAAACUUGAGCGAAUUUGUUCGGUUGUCUAUAUAAUCAUGUAUUGAGUAACCUCUCAGGAUACUGAGCAGGCAAAUGUUAUAACUCGGUUUGUUAGCCAAAAACUUGUUGAAGAUUCUUGACAAAGCUGCAUCAAGUGAAUUGUCGGAGCUCUGAGGGUGAGAGAAAUUAGAGGGUGUAUAGGGAUUUGGAUUUGUUAGGAAGUUAUCAUUUUUAUUUUUUUCACAGAAAAUCUUCUGGUGGUGCUAUAUUUUCAAACGACAGUCCGAUUCAAAACUUGAUAUUCCAAUUAUAUUCAUAAGCUUCUACAGUUAUCUUCAAAAAGACAAAUGGAAGGCUUUGAACGGCUUGGGUCUGAGUAUUGUAGUUUGAUUUAUUUUGAUGAAAGUACCUUUUGACAUUGAGAUUCUUUCAUGAGUUAAACAUUCUUUUUAAAACCAACUUAUUAAAAAAAAAAAGUAACUAACAUAUAUUAUUUUGUUAGUGCUUUUUAAAUCAAAUAUAAAAAAGAGAACUGUAAUUCUUAGCAACCAAUUUUUCACUGAGUACACCUACAACAAACUAUUAAAAAAUAAAGUGAUAAAAAAUGCCUGAUUUUUCGUACUUUCUAAUUACUUUUGGUCCUAAAAUAUGGCGAUUUGUGUAAUAAUAAGCCCAUGUAUAUCUUUAUGCCAUUAGUUAGAUAAAUAUCUAUCAAGGAUAACUUAUUAAGCUAAAAAUAUUUGAAGGAUAAAAUGGUAAAACUAAAAGGGUGGAGUAAUAUAGUUAUUUAAGAUUACAUAGUAAGUCAACUAUAUUCGAGGGAUAAAAUAUUAAAACUUAAAUAGUGAUAUUAAAAAUAUCUCGGCUAUUAUACUAUUAAACCAUAUGCCGUAAUAAUUUUUUUUUUCAAACUUUAAAAAAUUCAGGAUUUUAAAUUAAAACAUGGAUUUCUUUAAGAUGCUAUAUGUGUUUUUACAAUAUUGAUAAUGGGAUUAGUGUGGACCCUUAGAUGAAAGAGUUUUAAUCUGAAUCAUUCAUUUAAUAUAAUAGAUAAUUAAAUAAUUAAUUAAAAUAUAGCAGGUAACUUAUAGGUUGCAGGUAAAAAAUUAAUUUUUUAAUUUUAAAUUAAAAUUAAUUUGGAACAAAACCAUCCACACCCCUAAGGUUUACUUAAAUGAUCAUAUAAAUCCCUUUAGUUUCUACAUAGUUAUACAAACCCUCUUAAUUUCAUAAAUUAUUAUUAUACUUUUAAUUAAAACAACCUAAAUGAAUAUAAAUAUAGUUACCCUCUUAAUUUCAUAAAUUAUUAUUAUUAUACUUUUAAUUAAAAUAACCUAAAUGAAUAUAAAUAUAGUAAUAGGAUAGAAAUAAUAAAUAAAUAUCAGAUGAAACAAAUAAAAUAUUACAAUAAAUACAAUUAAUUAAAUAACAUGUAGGAUGAAAAUUUUAUUCAUAUUAAGUUAUUAUUAGUCUAUCCCAACGGAUUUACUCAAAUAAAUUAAUCAAAAUUUAAUUUUAAGAUUGAUGUUAAUAUGGACAUAAUUAAAUAAGAUGUUGUAAUAUAUAUUACUUUGAAUGUUAAGUAUAAUCAUCUAAUAUUAUUAGUAUGUGAAAUAGAUUUUAAUAUUAUUAAAAGAAUAUGACAAUAUAUAAUUUUGACAUAAAUUUUUUAGUAUUCAUAAUAUUUUAUAAAUUUUAUCUUAUUUUAUAUAUUAUAUUUUUUAAUUUUAAUGUAUUAUAUAUGAUCAUUUAAGCAAAUUUUGGAGGUGCGGUGGUCUUUUCCCUAUUAAUUUUAUAGCAUAUUUAAAGUGUUAUAUCAUACAUCAUACAUCGCACUUUUGUUAAAGUGUUAUGUUAUUAAAAAUUAAACUUUGCAUUUAUAAUAUACUACCAUUUUAAUGUAAAGGUAAUAGAAUAUAUGAAGAUAUUUUUAAGUAGUCAAUUGUAGUUUUCUUUUACAAAAUAGCAGUAUAGAAACACACACACACACACACACACACACAUAUCAAGUACUUGUAUGUUUCCCUAACUUUUAUUAAUAGGAAGGAAAUUAAAUUCGUAAUUUUCCCAGUGAAUUAUGAAUUGAUAAAUGAAAUAUAAAUAUUAGUAAAAAUUAAUUUGUCGACUAAAUAAGUAAUUUAAGGUCAAAUGAGAUAUAUCACAUGAUAUUUGAUACAGUAGUCCAAUUUUCAACAUUUGCAUAUAGUUUCUAAGCUAGUAAUCUAAUAAAAUAUACCAAAUGAGAAAUUCAAGGCUAUUAUUUAUAUUUCACCAUUGGACAAACACCAUACAUUAGAAUAAAAAAAUCUCACAGUAGAGACGGCAUUUGUUUGCAUGUUUUGAAAAUAGAUUUUGAAAUUAGUUUAAUUACAUGAUAAUUAAAUUAUAUUAUAAAAUUAAGAAUAUGAUUUAAGUACUAUUUUAGCAAUUUUGAGUCUCACAUUGAGUAUUCAAGUUAAUUAAAUGUUGAAACUCUUUUCUAUUUGGCUUGAAAUCACUACUUAAUUAAAUUACAAAAAGUCGAUAAUGAAUGAUGUAGGACACAUAUGUAAAAUAAAUUUUAAAGUGUAAUUAAACAUUCCUAUCAAUAUUAGUUUCGUAUACAUGUUCAUAUAUUUUACUGAAACCAUAUAUAAUUAAAUUUUGUGUAAUUAAGUAAAAUAUAUUAUUCAAAUGAAUUUAUGAGAAUAUUUAAAAUUGUAGGGGUGGUCACUGAAAUUUGCCAAACUUGAGCCAACCAUGCAUGAUCCAAACAGUUUAUUUUAAUAAUUCUCAAUAUGUUAGUCUGUUUGACUGUUGGCAAAAUAAAUUCCUAUCAGCAAUGCAACACAAUUCAAAAUCAUAUCUGCAUACAACGAACAAUAUCUCAUCAAAGAUCAAAUUAUACAUUUUUUACACCAAAGCAUAAAUAUCUAAAUUAUCCCUCUUCAACUCACCAAGCUCAUACCUAACAACAGCAAGAUUAAAUGUCAUUUGAUCCAUCUUUUUUAUUAAGCUUUAUCAAUUCUUCUCAUGGUUGCAAUUUUGAAAGCUCGCUUCGCUAUUUCCAUUUGCUUUUAUGCUUUGUUUGAGCUCCAUCUUUUCUCUCCAUCUACAUUUUACACUGUAAAAAAAAUUUUAAAAAAAUUACAAAGCUUCUUAUACUAGAAUAUGAGCAACAAUAUAAAUAAUAAACAAUAAAGUUAUGAUAGCACAACAUACUCAUUAAAGUGCUUCUUUUUUUUUUUUCAACAAGAAAUUACUACUGAAUUAAAGAUGGCUUUGCAUUAAGGUUUGCCUUCAAUAACUCAACUCCCCACUUGGGUUUUGUCGUUUUCUUAAAAUCUCUGCUCAAUCAAUUUAAAGAUCCAUUUUUUUUUUCUUUCCAAAGAUCUAAAAGCAAUGUCUUUUAUUGGUACCCAACAAAAAUGCAAGGUCUGUGAGAAGACAGUUUGUCCAGUUGAGCAGUUAUCUGCUGAUGGGGUUGUUUAUCACAAGUCUUGCUUCAAGUGCUAUCACGGCAAAGGCGCACUCAAGCUAAGCAAUUACUCAUCCCUGGAAGGUGUUCUUUACUGUAAGCCUCACUUUGAGCAGCUUUUGAAGGAGUCGAGUAACUUCAACCAGAAUUUCCAAUUACCUGCAAAGUCAGCUGAGAAGUUAACUCCUGAGCUGAGAAGGUCGCCUAGCAAAGUUGCCAGCAUGUUCUCUGGGCCCAAUAAAAAUGUGCUUCUUGCAGUAAAACAGUGUGUCCGUGGGAGAAGGUAGCAGUGGAAAACCAAGCCUCUCACAAGACAUGUUUCAAGUGCUCACAUGGUGGUUAUUCCAUUAGCCCGUCAAAUUACGCAGCCCUAGAAGGCAUCUUGUAUUGCAAACAUAAUUUCUCCCAAUUGUUCAAGGAAAAAGGCAGCUACAACCACCUUAUAUCAAAUCUGCUCCCAUGAAGCGUGCUGCAGUCUCUGUUCAAGAAGCUUGAACACGUUAUGUUAUCUUCCAUAAAUCUUAUUUGGCGUGGGUUUUCUCUGGCUUGAGGGUGUGCUUUCUAUUUUGAUCCCUCUUGUUGUUUUUGCGGGGAACUACCAAACCUUCGGUUCCCUCUGCUUCUUUGGAUCAUCUUUGUUUGGACAAAUUUCAUGUAAUUAGAGAUACCGAUUUAUGGGAGGCAUAAUCCCAUGGUCGUAAAUUGACCAUUUUCUGGCAAUGUUCUUUUUAAAAAGAGAUGAGCAGUUGUUUAAAAAAAAAAAAAUUGCUUGCCUUCAUCAUUGUAUAUUACCAAACUGCUAUGUAUAGCUGCUAACUAUGAGCAUCCGAAAAUAUGGUGCAUCGUGAUUCAUGUAGUGCAAUAUGGCUACCAACGCAUCCUAAAUGGAGUAUUACUCAGUUAGUCAGCAAAAUAAGACAACAUAACUGAUAUUAAAAAAAAAAAAAACUACAUUAAUAAGUGGGCAAGAUCAUGCCAGUUUAACUUUUCGCGCGUCGCUGCUGGAGAUGAUCAAAUCGGGGCAUAGAAAAGGAGAAUGGAAUCAGAGGCUAAGAUUAAUAAGUGGGCUUCUGCUUGCUUUGCCCCUCUUUCUUAAACGAUUGGUAGACUGCUGCUUCCGCCGAUUAACCGGGUCUUCAACCACUGCUUUUACUGCCUGCCAUCUUGUUGUUUGUCGAAGGGAUGAAUUCGAGUCGAAAAGAGAAAGCGCGCUGAAAAAGAUAAAUCACUAGUGGUUAACUGCUGACUCAGCCAAGUGUUGGCUUCACUUGAUUCACCGAUUGAGGUUAUUUUGUCUUCUAUCUAAUGCAGCGAAGAAGCUUUGCUGCUUAACAUGCUGCAAUGCAACUUUAUCCUUUGAAGUUCACACUCCAGGGCUGCGCACUUUAUGUAAUCCUAUGAGUAAAAAGAAUUUGUUUUCAAAUGUGAAAAAAGAAAAUGUAAGGUAGUAACUAAAUAUAUUAUAGCAUCAAAGCAAGAUUUGAUAUGAAUUUAGUACAACAAAGAACAUCAAAUCUGUGAUUCCUUGUCUAAUGUCACCAUCGAGCAACAAAUUUAAAAGCCUACCUAUCAAAUACACGAGGCAAUAAACGGAGAAAAAGUUGAAUUACAAGAACAAGUUUACAAUUCUUGUCAAUGGUUAAUGAUUUGUGAACUGAGAUAUCAUUCAAGAAUCCAAUUUCAAUACAACAACCUAAAAGAUAAACAGAUGAUGAAUUUUAUGAGAUAAAGAAGGAGAUCGUGUUUUAUCGUAUCUCUAUUUUCUUUCUUUUUAAAUUUAUGAGAUAAAGCGGUUGGUCCAGUUACGGUGUUAUGCUAACGGGUUUAAAGGUUCCGAUCCAAUGAGUUAGGGUGGAAUAUGAAUAUAUAAAUUCCAUAGCAUGUAAGGACUAGGAUUUGUUUGUUCAUAUCAAGAAAAAAAAUCUGAAAAUUUGAUGAUCAGAAGAUAAAAACACUUAAACACGUUUAAGUAUCAAUAAAUACUUGCUGCUGUAGUUUGAAAAUAAAAUGAGUUUAUCUUGUUGCUGUUUGAUAAAAAUUUAUACUAUUUUUAUUAAUUUUGUCAAAAUCAAUAUUUAGACAUUAUAUUUACCAAGCAUUAUCAUUUUUUUAAUCUCAUAAUUAAUUAAAAUUUUCAUUUCAUUCAAUACAGUAAUUAAUUAGAAUUGUAGCAUAAGCCCAUUUUAAUUUUCUUUCUUUAGGCUAUAUACGCUACUUAUAAGAAAAACUUAUGGACCAUUGACCUAGGCUUAUACAAUAAGCCAAUUUAGAAAUUGUAGACUCACUCUAUGGAUUACUCAUGAGUUGUGGAUGAUGAGUUCUUCACUAACGAAGUGCAUUGGAUAUCAUAUAACGUAAAAACACACAUUGUCAUUAGUCUAUUGCAAGCAUUCCCAUUUGGCACCGAAUCUUUCUCAUUAGCCUAUUGCAAGCGAUCCCAGCCACUUGGAAUCAAAAUUUAGUGAAUUUACAUAUGUUGUCUCGAAGUGGUGUCUCUUAUGGUUGGGUGUUUUUAUAAAUUUCUUAAUUGCUUCGAAUACCAUGGCUGAUGCAACCGUUUCUACUAUCUUGGAGCAGCUGAUUUCCUUCGCUGCUGAAGAGAUAAAACAACAGGUGAUCGAAGUUACACCCCUCAUAUUACAAAUACUUCCAAUGAUUUUAAUUGGUUUUGUUUUUAUCAAAAACAUUAUAUAUUUUUUCUUUAUUUUAUUUAUCUGGUAAUUUUAGAUUUUGAAAUUUGAAUUGAAUUUAAUUAAAAGGUGAUGUAGUAACCACUUAUUUUUAUUUUUUUUUAUUUAUAUUCUCAAUAACUACUCAUAGUUUGGUAACUUACUAUAACUUCCAUAUCUAAGAAAUGAUCCAAACCCACAAUUUUAAUGAUAAGAUUGGUUGAAUUAAAUAUCACUUGGCCCACAUGAUUUGUUUUAAUUAUUUUAUAUUUUCAUUCAACCAAUGAAUUAGUGCCACGUCAGUUUGUACAAAAUAAGUUUGUACAAUAGUUUGUGGUUGUAUCAUUACUCUUUAGUAAAGAGUAAUGAUAUAGCCACAAACUCUUGUACAAACUUAUUUUGUACAAACUUAUGUGGCAUGAUAAGAUUGGUUGAAUUAAAUAUCACUUGGCCCACAUGAUUUGUUUUAAUUAUUUUAUAUUUUCAUUCAACCAAUGAAUUAGUGCCACGUCAGUUUGUACAAAAUAAGUUUGUACAAUAGUUUGUGGUUGUAUCAUUACUCUUUAGUAAAGAGUAAUGAUAUAGCCACAAACUCUUGUACAAACUUAUUUUGUACAAACUUAUGUGGCAUGAUAAGAUUGGUUGAAUUAAAUAUCACUUGGCCCACAUGAUUUGUUUUAAUUAUUUUAUAUUUUCAUUCAACCAAUGAAUUAGUGCCACGUCAGUUUGUACAAAAUAAGUUUGUACAAUAGUUUGUGGUUGUAUCAUUACUCUUUAGUAAAGAGUAAUGAUAUAGCCACAAACUCUUGUACAAACUUAUUUUGUACAAACUUAUGUGGCAUGAUAAGAUUGGUUGAAUUAAAUAUCACUUGGCCCACAUGAUUUGUUUUAAUUAUUUUAUAUUUUCAUUCAACCAAUGAAUUAGUGCCACGUCAGUUUGUACAAAAUAAGUUUGUACAAUAGUUUGUGGUUGUAUCAUUACUCUUUAGUAAAGAGUAAUGAUAUAGCCACAAACUCUUGUACAAACUUAUUUUGUACAAACUUAUGUGGCAUGAUAAGAUUGGUUGAAUUAAAUAUCACUUGGCCCACAUGAUUUGUUUUAAUUAUUUUAUAUUUUCAUUCAACCAAUGAAUUAGUGCCACGUCAGUUUGUACAAAAUAAGUUUGUACAAUAGUUUGUGGUUGUAUCAUUACUCUUUAGUAAAGAGUAAUGAUAUAGCCACAAACUCUUGUACAAACUUAUUUUGUACAAACUUAUGUGGCAUGAUAAGAUUGGUUGAAUUAAAUAUCACUUGGCCCACAUGAUUUGUUUUAAUUAUUUUAUAUUUUCAUUCAACCAAUGAAUUAGUGCCACGUCAGUUUGUACAAAAUAAGUUUGUACAAUAGUUUGUGGUUGUAUCAUUACUCUUUAGUAAAGAGUAAUGAUAUAGCCACAAACUCUUGUACAAACUUAUUUUGUACAAACUUAUGUGGCAUGAUAAGAUUGGUUGAAUUAAAUAUCACUUGGCCCACAUGAUUUGUUUUAAUUAUUUUAUAUUUUCAUUCAACCAAUGAAUUAGUGCCACGUCAGUUUGUACAAAAUAAGUUUGUACAAUAGUUUGUGGUUGUAUCAUUACUCUUUAGUAAAGAGUAAUGAUAUAGCCACAAACUCUUGUACAAACUUAUUUUGUACAAACUUAUGUGGCAUGAUAAGAUUGGUUGAAUUAAAUAUCACUUGGCCCACAUGAUUUGUUUUAAUUAUUUUAUAUUUUCAUUCAACCAAUGAAUUAGUGCCACGUCAGUUUGUACAAAAUAAGUUUGUACAAUAGUUUGUGGUUGUAUCAUUACUCUUUAGUAAAGAGUAAUGAUAUAGCCACAAACUCUUGUACAAACUUAUUUUGUACAAACUUAUGUGGCAUGAUAAGAUUGGUUGAAUUAAAUAUCACUUGGCCCACAUGAUUUGUUUUAAUUAUUUUAUAUUUUCAUUCAACCAAUGAAUUAGUGCCACGUCAGUUUGUACAAAAUAAGUUUGUACAAUAGUUUGUGGUUGUAUCAUUACUCUUUAGUAAAGAGUAAUGAUAUAGCCACAAACUCUUGUACAAACUUAUUUUGUACAAACUUAUGUGGCAUGAUAAGAUUGGUUGAAUUAAAUAUCACUUGGCCCACAUGAUUUGUUUUAAUUAUUUUAUAUUUUCAUUCAACCAAUGAAUUAGUGCCACGUCAGUUUGUACAAAAUAAGUUUGUACAAUAGUUUGUGGUUGUAUCAUUACUCUUUAGUAAAGAGUAAUGAUAUAGCCACAAACUCUUGUACAAACUUAUUUUGUACAAACUUAUGUGGCAUGAUAAGAUUGGUUGAAUUAAAUAUCACUUGGCCCACAUGAUUUGUUUUAAUUAUUUUAUAUUUUCAUUCAACCAAUGAAUUAGUGCCACGUCAGUUUGUACAAAAUAAGUUUGUACAAUAGUUUGUGGUUGUAUCAUUACUCUUUAGUAAAGAGUAAUGAUAUAGCCACAAACUCUUGUACAAACUUAUUUUGUACAAACUUAUGUGGCAUGAUAAGAUUGGUUGAAUUAAAUAUCACUUGGCCCACAUGAUUUGUUUUAAUUAUUUUAUAUUUUCAUUCAACCAAUGAAUUAGUGCCACGUCAGUUUGUACAAAAUAAGUUUGUACAAUAGUUUGUGGUUGUAUCAUUACUCUUUAGUAAAGAGUAAUGAUAUAGCCACAAACUCUUGUACAAACUUAUUUUGUACAAACUUAUGUGGCAUGAUAAGAUUGGUUGAAUUAAAUAUCACUUGGCCCACAUGAUUUGUUUUAAUUAUUUUAUAUUUUCAUUCAACCAAUGAAUUAGUGCCACGUCAGUUUGUACAAAAUAAGUUUGUACAAUAGUUUGUGGUUGUAUCAUUACUCUUUAGUAAAGAGUAAUGAUAUAGCCACAAACUCUUGUACAAACUUAUUUUGUACAAACUUAUGUGGCAUGAUAAGAUUGGUUGAAUUAAAUAUCACUUGGCCCACAUGAUUUGUUUUAAUUAUUUUAUAUUUUCAUUCAACCAAUGAAUUAGUGCCACGUCAGUUUGUACAAAAUAAGUUUGUACAAUAGUUUGUGGUUGUAUCAUUACUCUUUAGUAAAGAGUAAUGAUAUAGCCACAAACUCUUGUACAAACUUAUUUUGUACAAACUUAUGUGGCAUGAUAAGAUUGGUUGAAUUAAAUAUCACUUGGCCCACAUGAUUUGUUUUAAUUAUUUUAUAUUUUCAUUCAACCAAUGAAUUAGUGCCACGUCAGUUUGUACAAAAUAAGUUUGUACAAUAGUUUGUGGUUGUAUCAUUACUCUUUAGUAAAGAGUAAUGAUAUAGCCACAAACUCUUGUACAAACUUAUUUUGUACAAACUUAUGUGGCAUGAUAAGAUUGGUUGAAUUAAAUAUCACUUGGCCCACAUGAUUUGUUUUAAUUAUUUUAUAUUUUCAUUCAACCAAUGAAUUAGUGCCACGUCAGUUUGUACAAAAUAAGUUUGUACAAUAGUUUGUGGUUGUAUCAUUACUCUUUAGUAAAGAGUAAUGAUAUAGCCACAAACUCUUGUACAAACUUAUUUUGUACAAACUUAUGUGGCAUGAUAAGAUUGGUUGAAUUAAAUAUCACUUGGCCCACAUGAUUUGUUUUAAUUAUUUUAUAUUUUCAUUCAACCAAUGAAUUAGUGCCACGUCAGUUUGUACAAAAUAAGUUUGUACAAUAGUUUGUGGUUGUAUCAUUACUCUUUAGUAAAGAGUAAUGAUAUAGCCACAAACUCUUGUACAAACUUAUUUUGUACAAACUUAUGUGGCAUGAUAAGAUUGGUUGAAUUAAAUAUCACUUGGCCCACAUGAUUUGUUUUAAUUAUUUUAUAUUUUCAUUCAACCAAUGAAUUAGUGCCACGUCAGUUUGUACAAAAUAAGUUUGUACAAUAGUUUGUGGUUGUAUCAUUACUCUUUAGUAAAGAGUAAUGAUAUAGCCACAAACUCUUGUACAAACUUAUUUUGUACAAACUUAUGUGGCAUGAUAAGAUUGGUUGAAUUAAAUAUCACUUGGCCCACAUGAUUUGUUUUAAUUAUUUUAUAUUUUCAUUCAACCAAUGAAUUAGUGCCACGUCAGUUUGUACAAAAUAAGUUUGUACAAUAGUUUGUGGUUGUAUCAUUACUCUUUAGUAAAGAGUAAUGAUAUAGCCACAAACUCUUGUACAAACUUAUUUUGUACAAACUUAUGUGGCAUGAUAAGAUUGGUUGAAUUAAAUAUCACUUGGCCCACAUGAUUUGUUUUAAUUAUUUUAUAUUUUCAUUCAACCAAUGAAUUAGUGCCACGUCAGUUUGUACAAAAUAAGUUUGUACAAUAGUUUGUGGUUGUAUCAUUACUCUUUAGUAAAGAGUAAUGAUAUAGCCACAAACUCUUGUACAAACUUAUUUUGUACAAACUUAUGUGGCAUGAUAAGAUUGGUUGAAUUAAAUAUCACUUGGCCCACAUGAUUUGUUUUAAUUAUUUUAUAUUUUCAUUCAACCAAUGAAUUAGUGCCACGUCAGUUUGUACAAAAUAAGUUUGUACAAUAGUUUGUGGUUGUAUCAUUACUCUUUAGUAAAGAGUAAUGAUAUAGCCACAAACUCUUGUACAAACUUAUUUUGUACAAACUUAUGUGGCAUGAUAAGAUUGGUUGAAUUAAAUAUCACUUGGCCCACAUGAUUUGUUUUAAUUAUUUUAUAUUUUCAUUCAACCAAUGAAUUAGUGCCACGUCAGUUUGUACAAAAUAAGUUUGUACAAUAGUUUGUGGUUGUAUCAUUACUCUUUAGUAAAGAGUAAUGAUAUAGCCACAAACUCUUGUACAAACUUAUUUUGUACAAACUUAUGUGGCAUGAUAAGAUUGGUUGAAUUAAAUAUCACUUGGCCCACAUGAUUUGUUUUAAUUAUUUUAUAUUUUCAUUCAACCAAUGAAUUAGUGCCACGUCAGUUUGUACAAAAUAAGUUUGUACAAUAGUUUGUGGUUGUAUCAUUACUCUUUAGUAAAGAGUAAUGAUAUAGCCACAAACUCUUGUACAAACUUAUUUUGUACAAACUUAUGUGGCAUGAUAAGAUUGGUUGAAUUAAAUAUCACUUGGCCCACAUGAUUUGUUUUAAUUAUUUUAUAUUUUCAUUCAACCAAUGAAUUAGUGCCACGUCAGUUUGUACAAAAUAAGUUUGUACAAUAGUUUGUGGUUGUAUCAUUACUCUUUAGUAAAGAGUAAUGAUAUAGCCACAAACUCUUGUACAAACUUAUUUUGUACAAACUUAUGUGGCAUGAUAAGAUUGGUUGAAUUAAAUAUCACUUGGCCCACAUGAUUUGUUUUAAUUAUUUUAUAUUUUCAUUCAACCAAUGAAUUAGUGCCACGUCAGUUUGUACAAAAUAAGUUUGUACAAUAGUUUGUGGUUGUAUCAUUACUCUUUAGUAAAGAGUAAUGAUAUAGCCACAAACUCUUGUACAAACUUAUUUUGUACAAACUUAUGUGGCAUGAUAAGAUUGGUUGAAUUAAAUAUCACUUGGCCCACAUGAUUUGUUUUAAUUAUUUUAUAUUUUCAUUCAACCAAUGAAUUAGUGCCACGUCAGUUUGUACAAAAUAAGUUUGUACAAUAGUUUGUGGUUGUAUCAUUACUCUUUAGUAAAGAGUAAUGAUAUAGCCACAAACUCUUGUACAAACUUAUUUUGUACAAACUUAUGUGGCAUGAUAAGAUUGGUUGAAUUAAAUAUCACUUGGCCCACAUGAUUUGUUUUAAUUAUUUUAUAUUUUCAUUCAACCAAUGAAUUAGUGCCACGUCAGUUUGUACAAAAUAAGUUUGUACAAUAGUUUGUGGUUGUAUCAUUACUCUUUAGUAAAGAGUAAUGAUAUAGCCACAAACUCUUGUACAAACUUAUUUUGUACAAACUUAUGUGGCAUGAUAAGAUUGGUUGAAUUAAAUAUCACUUGGCCCACAUGAUUUGUUUUAAUUAUUUUAUAUUUUCAUUCAACCAAUGAAUUAGUGCCACGUCAGUUUGUACAAAAUAAGUUUGUACAAUAGUUUGUGGUUGUAUCAUUACUCUUUAGUAAAGAGUAAUGAUAUAGCCACAAACUCUUGUACAAACUUAUUUUGUACAAACUUAUGUGGCAUGAUAAGAUUGGUUGAAUUAAAUAUCACUUGGCCCACAUGAUUUGUUUUAAUUAUUUUAUAUUUUCAUUCAACCAAUGAAUUAGUGCCACGUCAGUUUGUACAAAAUAAGUUUGUACAAUAGUUUGUGGUUGUAUCAUUACUCUUUAGUAAAGAGUAAUGAUAUAGCCACAAACUCUUGUACAAACUUAUUUUGUACAAACUUAUGUGGCAUGAUAAGAUUGGUUGAAUUAAAUAUCACUUGGCCCACAUGAUUUGUUUUAAUUAUUUUAUAUUUUCAUUCAACCAAUGAAUUAGUGCCACGUCAGUUUGUACAAAAUAAGUUUGUACAAUAGUUUGUGGUUGUAUCAUUACUCUUUAGUAAAGAGUAAUGAUAUAGCCACAAACUCUUGUACAAACUUAUUUUGUACAAACUUAUGUGGCAUGAUAAGAUUGGUUGAAUUAAAUAUCACUUGGCCCACAUGAUUUGUUUUAAUUAUUUUAUAUUUUCAUUCAACCAAUGAAUUAGUGCCACGUCAGUUUGUACAAAAUAAGUUUGUACAAUAGUUUGUGGUUGUAUCAUUACUCUUUAGUAAAGAGUAAUGAUAUAGCCACAAACUCUUGUACAAACUUAUUUUGUACAAACUUAUGUGGCAUGAUAAGAUUGGUUGAAUUAAAUAUCACUUGGCCCACAUGAUUUGUUUUAAUUAUUUUAUAUUUUCAUUCAACCAAUGAAUUAGUGCCACGUCAGUUUGUACAAAAUAAGUUUGUACAAUAGUUUGUGGUUGUAUCAUUACUCUUUAGUAAAGAGUAAUGAUAUAGCCACAAACUCUUGUACAAACUUAUUUUGUACAAACUUAUGUGGCAUGAUAAGAUUGGUUGAAUUAAAUAUCACUUGGCCCACAUGAUUUGUUUUAAUUAUUUUAUAUUUUCAUUCAACCAAUGAAUUAGUGCCACGUCAGUUUGUACAAAAUAAGUUUGUACAAUAGUUUGUGGUUGUAUCAUUACUCUUUAGUAAAGAGUAAUGAUAUAGCCACAAACUCUUGUACAAACUUAUUUUGUACAAACUUAUGUGGCAUGAUAAGAUUGGUUGAAUUAAAUAUCACUUGGCCCACAUGAUUUGUUUUAAUUAUUUUAUAUUUUCAUUCAACCAAUGAAUUAGUGCCACGUCAGUUUGUACAAAAUAAGUUUGUACAAUAGUUUGUGGUUGUAUCAUUACUCUUUAGUAAAGAGUAAUGAUAUAGCCACAAACUCUUGUACAAACUUAUUUUGUACAAACUUAUGUGGCAUGAUAAGAUUGGUUGAAUUAAAUAUCACUUGGCCCACAUGAUUUGUUUUAAUUAUUUUAUAUUUUCAUUCAACCAAUGAAUUAGUGCCACGUCAGUUUGUACAAAAUAAGUUUGUACAAUAGUUUGUGGUUGUAUCAUUACUCUUUAGUAAAGAGUAAUGAUAUAGCCACAAACUCUUGUACAAACUUAUUUUGUACAAACUUAUGUGGCAUGAUAAGAUUGGUUGAAUUAAAUAUCACUUGGCCCACAUGAUUUGUUUUAAUUAUUUUAUAUUUUCAUUCAACCAAUGAAUUAGUGCCACGUCAGUUUGUACAAAAUAAGUUUGUACAAUAGUUUGUGGUUGUAUCAUUACUCUUUAGUAAAGAGUAAUGAUAUAGCCACAAACUCUUGUACAAACUUAUUUUGUACAAACUUAUGUGGCAUGAUAAGAUUGGUUGAAUUAAAUAUCACUUGGCCCACAUGAUUUGUUUUAAUUAUUUUAUAUUUUCAUUCAACCAAUGAAUUAGUGCCACGUCAGUUUGUACAAAAUAAGUUUGUACAAUAGUUUGUGGUUGUAUCAUUACUCUUUAGUAAAGAGUAAUGAUAUAGCCACAAACUCUUGUACAAACUUAUUUUGUACAAACUUAUGUGGCAUGAUAAGAUUGGUUGAAUUAAAUAUCACUUGGCCCACAUGAUUUGUUUUAAUUAUUUUAUAUUUUCAUUCAACCAAUGAAUUAGUGCCACGUCAGUUUGUACAAAAUAAGUUUGUACAAUAGUUUGUGGUUGUAUCAUUACUCUUUAGUAAAGAGUAAUGAUAUAGCCACAAACUCUUGUACAAACUUAUUUUGUACAAACUUAUGUGGCAUGAUAAGAUUGGUUGAAUUAAAUAUCACUUGGCCCACAUGAUUUGUUUUAAUUAUUUUAUAUUUUCAUUCAACCAAUGAAUUAGUGCCACGUCAGUUUGUACAAAAUAAGUUUGUACAAUAGUUUGUGGUUGUAUCAUUACUCUUUAGUAAAGAGUAAUGAUAUAGCCACAAACUCUUGUACAAACUUAUUUUGUACAAACUUAUGUGGCAUGAUAAGAUUGGUUGAAUUAAAUAUCACUUGGCCCACAUGAUUUGUUUUAAUUAUUUUAUAUUUUCAUUCAACCAAUGAAUUAGUGCCACGUCAGUUUGUACAAAAUAAGUUUGUACAAUAGUUUGUGGUUGUAUCAUUACUCUUUAGUAAAGAGUAAUGAUAUAGCCACAAACUCUUGUACAAACUUAUUUUGUACAAACUUAUGUGGCAUGAUAAGAUUGGUUGAAUUAAAUAUCACUUGGCCCACAUGAUUUGUUUUAAUUAUUUUAUAUUUUCAUUCAACCAAUGAAUUAGUGCCACGUCAGUUUGUACAAAAUAAGUUUGUACAAUAGUUUGUGGUUGUAUCAUUACUCUUUAGUAAAGAGUAAUGAUAUAGCCACAAACUCUUGUACAAACUUAUUUUGUACAAACUUAUGUGGCAUGAUAAGAUUGGUUGAAUUAAAUAUCACUUGGCCCACAUGAUUUGUUUUAAUUAUUUUAUAUUUUCAUUCAACCAAUGAAUUAGUGCCACGUCAGUUUGUACAAAAUAAGUUUGUACAAUAGUUUGUGGUUGUAUCAUUACUCUUUAGUAAAGAGUAAUGAUAUAGCCACAAACUCUUGUACAAACUUAUUUUGUACAAACUUAUGUGGCAUGAUAAGAUUGGUUGAAUUAAAUAUCACUUGGCCCACAUGAUUUGUUUUAAUUAUUUUAUAUUUUCAUUCAACCAAUGAAUUAGUGCCACGUCAGUUUGUACAAAAUAAGUUUGUACAAUAGUUUGUGGUUGUAUCAUUACUCUUUAGUAAAGAGUAAUGAUAUAGCCACAAACUCUUGUACAAACUUAUUUUGUACAAACUUAUGUGGCAUGAUAAGAUUGGUUGAAUUAAAUAUCACUUGGCCCACAUGAUUUGUUUUAAUUAUUUUAUAUUUUCAUUCAACCAAUGAAUUAGUGCCACGUCAGUUUGUACAAAAUAAGUUUGUACAAUAGUUUGUGGUUGUAUCAUUACUCUUUAGUAAAGAGUAAUGAUAUAGCCACAAACUCUUGUACAAACUUAUUUUGUACAAACUUAUGUGGCAUGAUAAGAUUGGUUGAAUUAAAUAUCACUUGGCCCACAUGAUUUGUUUUAAUUAUUUUAUAUUUUCAUUCAACCAAUGAAUUAGUGCCACGUCAGUUUGUACAAAAUAAGUUUGUACAAUAGUUUGUGGUUGUAUCAUUACUCUUUAGUAAAGAGUAAUGAUAUAGCCACAAACUCUUGUACAAACUUAUUUUGUACAAACUUAUGUGGCAUGAUAAGAUUGGUUGAAUUAAAUAUCACUUGGCCCACAUGAUUUGUUUUAAUUAUUUUAUAUUUUCAUUCAACCAAUGAAUUAGUGCCACGUCAGUUUGUACAAAAUAAGUUUGUACAAUAGUUUGUGGUUGUAUCAUUACUCUUUAGUAAAGAGUAAUGAUAUAGCCACAAACUCUUGUACAAACUUAUUUUGUACAAACUUAUGUGGCAUGAUAAGAUUGGUUGAAUUAAAUAUCACUUGGCCCACAUGAUUUGUUUUAAUUAUUUUAUAUUUUCAUUCAACCAAUGAAUUAGUGCCACGUCAGUUUGUACAAAAUAAGUUUGUACAAUAGUUUGUGGUUGUAUCAUUACUCUUUAGUAAAGAGUAAUGAUAUAGCCACAAACUCUUGUACAAACUUAUUUUGUACAAACUUAUGUGGCAUGAUAAGAUUGGUUGAAUUAAAUAUCACUUGGCCCACAUGAUUUGUUUUAAUUAUUUUAUAUUUUCAUUCAACCAAUGAAUUAGUGCCACGUCAGUUUGUACAAAAUAAGUUUGUACAAUAGUUUGUGGUUGUAUCAUUACUCUUUAGUAAAGAGUAAUGAUAUAGCCACAAACUCUUGUACAAACUUAUUUUGUACAAACUUAUGUGGCAUGAUAAGAUUGGUUGAAUUAAAUAUCACUUGGCCCACAUGAUUUGUUUUAAUUAUUUUAUAUUUUCAUUCAACCAAUGAAUUAGUGCCACGUCAGUUUGUACAAAAUAAGUUUGUACAAUAGUUUGUGGUUGUAUCAUUACUCUUUAGUAAAGAGUAAUGAUAUAGCCACAAACUCUUGUACAAACUUAUUUUGUACAAACUUAUGUGGCAUGAUAAGAUUGGUUGAAUUAAAUAUCACUUGGCCCACAUGAUUUGUUUUAAUUAUUUUAUAUUUUCAUUCAACCAAUGAAUUAGUGCCACGUCAGUUUGUACAAAAUAAGUUUGUACAAUAGUUUGUGGUUGUAUCAUUACUCUUUAGUAAAGAGUAAUGAUAUAGCCACAAACUCUUGUACAAACUUAUUUUGUACAAACUUAUGUGGCAUGAUAAGAUUGGUUGAAUUAAAUAUCACUUGGCCCACAUGAUUUGUUUUAAUUAUUUUAUAUUUUCAUUCAACCAAUGAAUUAGUGCCACGUCAGUUUGUACAAAAUAAGUUUGUACAAUAGUUUGUGGUUGUAUCAUUACUCUUUAGUAAAGAGUAAUGAUAUAGCCACAAACUCUUGUACAAACUUAUUUUGUACAAACUUAUGUGGCAUGAUAAGAUUGGUUGAAUUAAAUAUCACUUGGCCCACAUGAUUUGUUUUAAUUAUUUUAUAUUUUCAUUCAACCAAUGAAUUAGUGCCACGUCAGUUUGUACAAAAUAAGUUUGUACAAUAGUUUGUGGUUGUAUCAUUACUCUUUAGUAAAGAGUAAUGAUAUAGCCACAAACUCUUGUACAAACUUAUUUUGUACAAACUUAUGUGGCAUGAUAAGAUUGGUUGAAUUAAAUAUCACUUGGCCCACAUGAUUUGUUUUAAUUAUUUUAUAUUUUCAUUCAACCAAUGAAUUAGUGCCACGUCAGUUUGUACAAAAUAAGUUUGUACAAUAGUUUGUGGUUGUAUCAUUACUCUUUAGUAAAGAGUAAUGAUAUAGCCACAAACUCUUGUACAAACUUAUUUUGUACAAACUUAUGUGGCAUGAUAAGAUUGGUUGAAUUAAAUAUCACUUGGCCCACAUGAUUUGUUUUAAUUAUUUUAUAUUUUCAUUCAACCAAUGAAUUAGUGCCACGUCAGUUUGUACAAAAUAAGUUUGUACAAUAGUUUGUGGUUGUAUCAUUACUCUUUAGUAAAGAGUAAUGAUAUAGCCACAAACUCUUGUACAAACUUAUUUUGUACAAACUUAUGUGGCAUGAUAAGAUUGGUUGAAUUAAAUAUCACUUGGCCCACAUGAUUUGUUUUAAUUAUUUUAUAUUUUCAUUCAACCAAUGAAUUAGUGCCACGUCAGUUUGUACAAAAUAAGUUUGUACAAUAGUUUGUGGUUGUAUCAUUACUCUUUAGUAAAGAGUAAUGAUAUAGCCACAAACUCUUGUACAAACUUAUUUUGUACAAACUUAUGUGGCAUGAUAAGAUUGGUUGAAUUAAAUAUCACUUGGCCCACAUGAUUUGUUUUAAUUAUUUUAUAUUUUCAUUCAACCAAUGAAUUAGUGCCACGUCAGUUUGUACAAAAUAAGUUUGUACAAUAGUUUGUGGUUGUAUCAUUACUCUUUAGUAAAGAGUAAUGAUAUAGCCACAAACUCUUGUACAAACUUAUUUUGUACAAACUUAUGUGGCAUGAUAAGAUUGGUUGAAUUAAAUAUCACUUGGCCCACAUGAUUUGUUUUAAUUAUUUUAUAUUUUCAUUCAACCAAUGAAUUAGUGCCACGUCAGUUUGUACAAAAUAAGUUUGUACAAUAGUUUGUGGUUGUAUCAUUACUCUUUAGUAAAGAGUAAUGAUAUAGCCACAAACUCUUGUACAAACUUAUUUUGUACAAACUUAUGUGGCAUGAUAAGAUUGGUUGAAUUAAAUAUCACUUGGCCCACAUGAUUUGUUUUAAUUAUUUUAUAUUUUCAUUCAACCAAUGAAUUAGUGCCACGUCAGUUUGUACAAAAUAAGUUUGUACAAUAGUUUGUGGUUGUAUCAUUACUCUUUAGUAAAGAGUAAUGAUAUAGCCACAAACUCUUGUACAAACUUAUUUUGUACAAACUUAUGUGGCAUGAUAAGAUUGGUUGAAUUAAAUAUCACUUGGCCCACAUGAUUUGUUUUAAUUAUUUUAUAUUUUCAUUCAACCAAUAAAAAUAUCUGCAUUCAUCACCUUCUCCUACAGCUAGUGAGCUAAACACGAAUCAUUUCCUUUUAGCAUUUUUGCAGCAUCAACUUCUCUCCUCGUUUGUCAUCCAAAAUUAUUCACCAAUACCAUGGCUGAUGCAAUCGUUUCCCUUCUCUUGGAGCAGCUGAUUAUCUUUGCUGCUGAAGAGUCGAAACAACAGGGGAAGCUGGUGAGUGUUGGAUGAGUGGAUCACAGCAUGCGCCAAAUCGCAAAUUGAUCAAUGCUCUUGAAUUUCAUGAAAUUAACUUCAAUCAAGUGGCUACCUGUUGAGAUUUUAUGGAUAAUGAUUUGGUAGACUUUAUAUGCCGUCUUCUUUCUUUUUGCAGUGAUAUGUUUGUAUUCAAUGUGCUUGUGCUUAUUCUGUGGUUUUUAAAGUAGGUGUUUUUAUGAUAAACUAGGUCUUGUGUAUUGUAUGGACUAUCUAGAGAAGAAUAUUGACUGGUUGCAGUCAAAAUUGGAACCACUUUUGAAAGGUAAGAAGAGGCCAUUUUCCUUCAUUCUAAUGCCAAUAAUGCUGUCAUGAGACUCAUAAAAAAUGUUAAAACAUUAAUGUUUUUGGUAUUUUGCAGAUCAUUAUCUUCUGUUUGAUUUUCCUGGCCAAGUUGAAUUAUUUUUUCUUCAUUCCAAUGCCAAGAAUGUUAUCAUGAGACUCAUAAAGAAGUUAAAUCUCAGGGUAUUGUUACAUCUUGCAUCUAUGAAGGGACUCAAAGAGUUGACAUGAAUUCAUCUUUGUUAUUUUGAUGCCAGAAUUGUGCAAUUCUCAGUUGGUUCCUUUCACAUGCAGUUGACUGCAGUGCAUCUAGUUGAUGCGCAUCUUUGCAGUGACCCUGGAAAGUAUGUUAGUGCUUUGCUUCUCUCGUUGUCUACGAUGCUACAUCUGGAACUUCCCCACGUCAAUGUCUUGUCUAAGAUCGACUUGAUUGAGAAUUAUGGAAAGCUAGGUGUGGUUUUAAGUGUCUCCCUCCUACUUGUUUGUUUAGUUUGAAAUAUCAGAUAUUAUCACGAGCUCCUAUCUGCUACGUUUCCUCACCAAUCAAUUACUUUGGGUAUGUUGCAGCUUUUAAUCUCGAGUACUAUACGGAUGUGCAAGAUUUGUCAUAUUUACAGCAUGCUCUGGGUCAGGACCCUCGUUCUGCUAAGUACAGGUUUGAAUUCUAGCUGAAUCAAUGAUGCAAAUUAUGUCCAUUGCUAUUUUUGACUGUCGUUUCUAUCAUUUUCAAUUGUUACCUCCCCUUGCCAUCUACUGCCACACUGCAAUGCCUACACAAAUGUUAUGAAAUUUGUCAAUGGCAAUGCCAUCCUGUUUGUCCAGAGACAGCUCUUAGAUGCAAGUGAACAAUUUUUGGCUUUGGCCGUUGUACAGCCUUAGAUUUCAACUUGCCAUAUCUUGUCUCGGAAGUCAAAAGAAAGCGUAUAUGUUAGCCAAAUUUUAUUUGAAUUUAUUGAGUAACAAUGAAUGGUUCGGAAAAACAGUUCCUCUUUUGUUUUGAUCAGACUCAAUGAAUAAGUGUUUAAAAUGUGCCUGUCCUAGAAAUAUAGAUGUGUGGUUUCGCAAACUUUUCUUGAUCUUAAGAAAGAGUUAUCUUGAAAAGAAGAUAACAUGGAGAAUUCAGCAACUAUACAGUCAUAUUGCGUCUGUCAACUUGGGUCAGAUGGUGUCGUUUGGAUGGAGAUGUUAGGUCCCAGAUGGUAUGCUUGUUAUCAAAUUCCAGUCUAAUUCAUUCAUGCUUUGAUGACAUAUGCGGUGCAGCUUCUUAUCUAAGACCUGCAUAUGUUCAGUCAUCAUUCAGUUCUGUAUUUGGCUGUCAUUCUUUCAAUGAAUUCAAACCACUUUCUGAAUACUUGCAAAUUCAUCCAGUGUUGUCAUUGAGAUUCCAAUAUGUAAAGGAGCAAUAGUUGCCCUUGAUAGUAUGCUUAUUGAUUGCCUCUUGCCUCACUCAGCCUAAGGAGUCUGGUUGUAUGGUGUUCUUGUAAUUUCAUUUGGAGAUAAGUAAUAUCUGUUGUUCAAAUGUAUUUUAUAUACAAGCAGUUAAUAAUUCUGCUUGCAGAAAGCUUACAAAGGAGCUGUGUGAUGUAAUAGAAGACUACAGUCUGGUCAAUUUUUCAACCUUAGAUAUUCAGGUCAUCAGUUUCUCUUGAAUUCUUUCUUGAGUUUCUUUGAAUUAUUUGUGAAUAAGAUCUUAGUUGGCUGCUCCUCUUCAGGAUAAGGAAAGUUUGGCAAAACUCGUGAAGCUGAUAGAUAAAAGCAAUGGGUACAUCUUUGCUGGCAUGGAUGCCAGGGCAGUUGAAUUCAGCAAGAUUGCCGUUCGCGAUGUGGAUUGGGAUUAUUACAGGUAUCCUUCUUUUCACCUAUUUUCAAUCUUGUGAUUCUCAUAUUCAUAAAACUUUCAUGGUUCAUUGUAUGCAUCUGCAUCUUCUAAUUUGUACGUUUGAGAGACUAAUUUUGCUGUUAGGUAGGCGUCAAAUUUGAUUCAUGCGUUUUUCAUAAAUUUACCAAAAUCAUGGAAACUUCUUUUUCCCAGAUAUUGUAUCCACACUUUUCCCAUGUAAUUCAGUCAGACAAGUUUUGCUUAACAAAGAUAUCUACUGUAGCCGAAGUGCAGGAAAAAUACAUUAAGGAUGAUGACAAUGUUAACUAAAAUGGGACACGAAGAUAUGUGGUGUGCAAACCGUAAGCAUGCCUCUUACUUUUGUGCAUGUUUACUUGCUUGUGAUUCAUGUUUGUUAAUCUAUUAUGCUCUUUUGUUGGGUUUAUAAAGUUUUCAAUCAAUCAAACAUUUGACUGAUUCAGACAGGACAAGCGGGGAAGAGGUGGUUUUAAUCAAACCACUACUAAUUAUGAUGUAUCUCGGACCUUUGUACAAUAUCAAGCGAUUUUUUUAGUUGAAUCAGCUGGUGUACACAAAUGUCGUUUAUUGAUUUUUCUCUAGUAUAGUUCGUAAUUUUGGUAACACAUCUACUCUAGUAUCGUUUGUAAUUACAAGAAACAAAGUAAUGAAAUUUAUCACUGCAUUCAUAGUUAUGCUUAAGCUCAAAGAUCACUGUCAAUAUCAUUUUGGGGCCUCUAUUUGUUCUAUAACAUGAUGUUGACACGUGUCAAAUUUUGAAGCUUGUGAUUAAAAUACUAUUCACAUAUAUAUUUUAAGUACCACUAAUAAUUAAAUAUAUUAAUAAAUAUGGGCAAUGGGGAUAAAAUAAAAUGGUUUUAUUUUUUGAAUUACUCAACUGCUUCAAACUUCUAAGAAGUAGAUUUACGAUGAGUGGAAUCUUAAAUUGAGUACGAGUUAGGGAUAACUUAUAAAAUUGGGAUACAAGCUUCAAAGAAAGUGUAUUACUAUUCAUAUGUAGAUUUCGAAUUAAGAAGAUAUGCCAGCUAAUUGUAUAAGAAUGUAAAAAUUGAUCACAGGCAUAAUCGCAAAUGAUGAAAUGAGCUACCUUGAUCAAAAGGUCAAGAACCUACCUUACUUCUCUUAGGGAUAAGUUGCAUCAACCGUUGUGAUAUUGAUAUUUAUCUUGAGCCAGUAAAAGUGAAAGCUUCCCAAUUGAAGGAAAGUGAAGAGAAGAUUCUAUGCUCUAAUUAUUAUUAUUAUUAUUAUUUGUUAGAAUGAAGUGCGAAGUGAGCACAUCAUGCAAGCUCAGCAGAUGUGAUAAGGUGACUUGUAACUCAGCUGGCACAAGAGACAAAGUGUAGUGGAGAAAAGUUUCCCAAUUGAUGGAAAGUGAAGGGAAGAUUCUAUGCUCUAAUUAUUAUUAUUUGACAAUGAAUUGGCAAAUAAAAACAAAAUAGCAGGCCUGUAAAGUAAUGAAGUGGAGACAAUGACCAUGUGAUUGAUUGGUAAAUAAAAACAAAAGAGCAAGCCUGUAAAGUAAUAUAAAUUAUAGUGUAUAUUCAAGUUAAAGUAAUGGAAACAGUGUGCAUCCACAAAAAAUUCUUUUAUCUCUCGUUGUCUUAUUCUUUUCUUUAUUUACGUUUUCCAGAAGUAAAGCCAUACAUGUGAUGAAGCAUAAAUAAGAAAGCUAUCGCCCGAAAUUCAUUUUGCACAAACACUUCAAUAUCCUUUUGAUCACUUUUGCAAACAUCAAUUUGUCUCCUAUUGUAUUCACCAUGGCUGAUGCAAUCGUUUCCACUAUCUUGGAGCAGCUGAUUUCCUUCGCUGCUGAAGAGAUAAAACAACAGGUGAUCGAAGUUACACCCCUCAUAUUACAAAUACUUCCAAUGAUUUUAAUUGGUUUUGUUUUUAUCAAAAACAUUAUAUAUUUUUGCUUUAUUUUAUUUAUCUGAUAGUUUUAUAUUUUGAAAUUUGAAUUGAAAUCAUGAAAUUUGGAUAGGAUUCACUAGAAAUAUGUACAAGACUCUCCAUAAAGUUUCAUAAUUUUCAUUCGGUAUGGGGUGGUGCAGGUGAAACUUGUGGUUGGUGUUGAAGAAGAAGUGAAAAGCCUUACCAGCCACCUUGAAGCCAUUCAAGUUGUGCUCGAUGAUGCAGAGGAAAAGCAAGUGAAGGAAAAAGCUGUUAGUCUUUGGCUGGGUAGGCUCAAGUAUGCAUCCUACGACAUUGAAGAUGUGUUGGAUGAGUGGAUCACAGCAAGACGCAAAUUGCAAAUUGAGGAUGGCGUUGAUGAAAAUGCUCUUGUGAAAGACAUGUUUAAUCUUGUUAAGAGUGGCAAUAAAAGUAGUGAAAGACCAAGGCGUGUACAGAGUACCUCCUUGAUUGAUGAGGAAGAGAUUUGUGGUAGAGUUGGUGAGAAGAAUGAACUCUUAAGCAAGCUGUUGUGUGAGAGUAGCGAGCAACAAAAAGGCCUCCAUAUCAUCUCAAUUGUUGGUAUGGGAGGCAUAGGGAAAACUACUCUUGCACAACUAGCUUGUAAUCAUGACGAGGUGAAGAGAAAGUUCGACAAAAUUCUGUGGGUGUGUGUAUCAGAAACUUUUGAGGAGUUUAGGGUUGCCAAAGCGAUCGUUGAAGUUUUGGAUGGUCGUGAAUCUCAUUUAGCUGAAUUCCAUUCUCUUCUUCAACAUAUUUAUGAAUCCAUUGCAGGGAAGAGCUUUCUUCUUGUCUUAGAUGACGUGUGGGAUGGAAAUUACUUGAAAUGGGAACCAUUCUACCGUUGUCUAAAGAAUGGUCUCCAUGGAAGUAAAAUUUUAGUUACUACACGUAAAGGGUCAGCCGCAUCCAUGAUGGGAUCCACAGAUAUUAUCUCCGUUAAGGAGUUAGCUGAAGAAGAAUGUUGGUUGUUGUUUAACAAGAUAGCAUUUUUUGAUCGGUCCAUCGAGGAACGUGAAAAAUUAGAACAAAUUGGGGAAAGAAUUGGAGGCAAGUGCAAAGGUUUACCUCUUGCAGCAAAGACAAUCGGGAGUCUCAUGCGUUCUAAACAAACUGAAGAAGAGUGGAAAAGAAUUUUAAAUAGUGAUUUAUGGAAAGUAGAAGAGAUUGAGAAAGAUGUUUUGUCCUCUUUAUUGUUGAGUUAUAAUGAUUUGCCAUCUAGAGUAAAAAGAUGUUUUUCAUAUUGUGCUGUCUUUCCAAAAGACUACGAUAUAAAAAAAGACAAACUAAUCACAUUAUGGAUGGCUCAAGGUUAUCUUAGUGUAGAACAAGACGAAGAGAUAGAGACAAUAGGUGAAGAGUAUUUUGGCAUCUUAGCUUCUCGCUCGUUUUUUCAAGAGUUUAAGAAAAGUUAUGAUAAUCGGAUUAUAGCGUGUAAGAUGCAUGAUAUGGUACAUGAUUUUGCCCGAUUUGUAAGUCAAAAUGAAUGUUUUUCGAUGGCAAUUAAUGGUAGUGAAGAACCAAACGCCACAAACUCUCUUGAUGAAAAGGUCUGUCAUUUAAUGUUAAUCUUUAGUAAAGGGGCUUCAUUACCUGUUUCCACUCGUAGAGUUAAAAGAAUGCGUACCCUCUUAAUUAACUAUAGUAGAUCUGAAUCAUCUGAUCAUUCAUUAUUAAAUGGUGAGAUCCUAGAAGAAUUAUUUAGGGAAUUGAAAAGUUUAAGGGCAUUAGAUUUUGGCGGAUCGUACGACACACAUUUUUCUUUGACUCUGGAGAUUCCAAGAAACAUAGAAAAGCUGGUACAUUUAAGAUACCUUAAUUUGUCUCUUCAGAAAAUAGUGGAGCUACCGGAGACAUUAUGCGAGUUGUAUAAUCUAGAAAAGUUAGAUAUUAGUUAUUGUUAUAAGCUAGAAGAAUUACCUGAAGGGAUUGGGAAGUUAAUAAACAUGAAGCAUUUACUAAAUAAAAAUACUAGUUCUUUAACGUACAUGCCAGUAGGGAUUGGGAGAUUAACGGGUCUUAGGACCUUGGGUGAGUUCCACGUGAGUGCAGGAGGAGGUGUUGAUGGUAGGAAAGCAUGUAGGCUUGAAUCUCUUAAAAACUUGGAACGCCUUCAAGUAUGUGGUAUACGUAGACUGGGUGAUGUAUCAGAUGUGGGCGAGGCUAAGCGAUUAGAACUUGACAAAAAGAAAUACCUCUCUUGUUUGACCCUUGAGUUUGAUAAGAAGGAAAGAGGAGGAGAAAGGAGGAAGAACGAGGACGAUCAACUUCUUCUUGAAGCUCUACAACCACCUCUGGAUUUAAAGGAAUUAGAGAUAUGGUACUACCGAGGCAACACUGCUUUCCCCAGCUGGAUGACGUCAUUAACCAACUUAAAAAGUUUAGAUCUCUCUUUGUGCGAAAAUUGCGAGCAGCUGCCUCCUUUGGGAAAAUUGCAGUCCCUUGAAAAUCUCCACAUAUGGCGCAUGGCGAGUGUGAAGAGAGUGGGUGAUGAAUUUUUGGGGAUAGAAAGUGAUCAUCAUGACUCAUCUUCUUCUUCAUCAGUUAUUAUUGCCUUCCCCAAAUUGAAAUCACUUUCAAUUAACGAAAUGGAGGAAUUAGAGGAGUGGGAUUAUGGGAUUACAAGAACGGGAAACACCGUCAUCGACAUCAUGCCACGUCUUUCAUCCUUAACAAUAAUUCUUAGCCACAAAUUAAAGGCACUGCCCGACUACAUUCAUCAAACGACAACAUUGAAGGAAUUGCACAUUUUGGGGUGUGACCUUCUGGAAGAACGUUACCGCAAGGGGGAAGGAGAAGACUGGCCUAAGAUAUCUC
rnacentral:lncRNA from 1 species